rnacentral:misc_RNA from 1 species
AAGUCGUAACAAGGUUUCCGUAGGUGAACCUGCGGAAGGAUCAUUACCGAGUUGAUUCGAGCUCCGGCUCGACUCUCCCACCCUUUGUGUACCUACCUCUGUUGCUUUGGCGGGCCCGCGGUCGGCCUCGUGCCGUCCAGCACCCGCCAGAGGACCACAAAACUCCAGUCAGUAAACGUCUCAGUCUGAAAAACAAGUUAAUAAACUAAAA